GAUGAACGCUGGCGGCGUGCCUAAUACAUGCAAGUCGAGCGAACAGACGAGGAGCUUGCUCCUCUGACGUUAGCGGCGGACGGGUGAGUAACACGUGGAUAACCUACCUAUAAGACUGGGAUAACUUCGGGAAACCGGAGCUAAUACCGGAUAAUAUAUUGAACCGCAUGGUUCAAUAUUGAAAGACGGUUUUGCUGUCACUUAUAGAUGGAUCCGCGCCGCAUUAGCUAGUUGGUAAGGUAACGGCUUACCAAGGCGACGAUGCGUAGCCGACCUGAGAGGGUGAUCGGCCACACUGGAACUGAGACACGGUCCAGACUCCUACGGGAGGCAGCAGUAGGGAAUCUUCCGCAAAGGGCGAAAGCCUGACGGAGCAACGCCGCGUGAGUGAUGAAGGUCUUCGGAUCGUAAAACUCUGUUAUUAGGGAAGAACAAAUGUGUAAGUAACUAUGCACGUCUUGACGGUACCUAAUCAGAAAGCCACGGCUAACUACGUG
rnacentral:rRNA from 1 species